CCCGCGGUUCUUUCCACUCCUGCAGAGGUGGCUGGGCCCAGGCCCCACCGGAGGCCCUAGGGUGUGGCGACGCCCAGGGCCUUGGGCAAGGCCGAAGAGCGUGGUCCUUUGCACCAUUAGGGUUGAGUAAGUGCCCAGUCUCCAUCCGACCCGGUUCCUGAAGUUCUUUACACCUUCGGAAAGGGCCUGUCCGCGUUUCUCGGAAACGCGUGGGAUAACCAGUAUGUGCUCAGCUCUUCAUCUGCUCUCCGCACGCUGCCUGCUAUUUAAGAAAAACACACUAAAAGACCAAAAAGAAAGGUUUGAAAUUGGACUCUGGCCUUAGCACAAAUAAGUGCUUGAAGCCUCUCUGCACAAAGAUUAUAUAAAUUGGUAGCAUAUAUGGAUUAUUAUGUUUUUGAGAAUUCUACUAAACCUGAUACAGCAGUAUAAAGUCAUCACCAAAGGACUGAUGACUGUUGAUCAGAGUAGCUGUGCACUGGAGCAAGGGAAAUAUCAGACCUCUGGGACAUUCCUGAAGGACAGUGGUGAAGGGAAACUCUCACUGGGCAUUGCACCUGAUUGCUCAUGUCGCUUGGAAGAAAAAAUGGCAAGAUGUGAUUAUAUACCAGCCCGUGGGCUGUAGCCAAUGGUUUGGUUGGAUCGUCAAGAACGUGGAAAGAUGAUUGGAAUACUGGUGACAAGGAAAGUUGCUAUUGAAGUUUUAUACAUAGACUUCUCUCAGGCAAAACAACAUGAAGAUUUUUGUCUGGUGUAAAUGUCAUGUAAGUGGGGUGGCUUGAGGUAGACUGGACUCUCAGGUCUUCCCAUGUAUAAUUUAAAGCUAUUUUUCUUGAUGGACUUGGUCUAGUAAUUAAAUCAGUGGAGAUUUCUGAAGUGGGCAAAGUAUAAUAGAUCCCUUUAAUAGCCUUCAACUCUGUUUAGUUGAUAGCUGACGCCUCAGUGAAUGAAAUAGUUUAGUAAUAUGUCAUAAAGCAUGACAACUCUACAGACUGUGGGUGGUUACAGAGGUAAUAAUCUAUGUUAAAAUGUUAUAAGGGACCAGCAAUUGGCAUAAUGGGUAUGUCGCUGGACUCCCAUGUGGUCGACAGCAGU